rnacentral:rRNA from 1 species
GGGCCCGCACAAGCGGUGGAGUAUGUGGUUUAAUUCGAUGCAACGCGAAGAACCUUACCAGGGUUUGACAUCCUGCGAAUCUCUUGGAAACGAGAGAGUGCCUUCGGGAACGCAGUGACAGGUGGUGCAUGGCUGUCGUCAGCUCGUGUCGUGAGAUGUUGGGUUAAGUCCCGCAACGAGCGCAACCCACGUCGUUAGUUGCCAGCAUUUAGUUGGGCACUCUAGCGAGACCGCCGGUGAUAAACCCGGAGGAAGGUGUGGAUGACGUCAAGUCAUCAUGCCCCUUACAUCCUGGGCUACACACGUACUACAAUGCUACGGACAAAGGGCAGCAAGUUCCGGGACAAG